rnacentral:rRNA from 1 species
GACGAACGCUGGCGGCGUGCUUAACACAUGCAAGUCGAACGGAAAGGCCCUGCUUUUGUGGGGUGCUCGAGUGGCGAACGGGUGAGUAACACGUGAGUAACCUGCCCUUGACUUUGGGAUAACUUCAGGAAACUGGGGCUAAUACCGGAUAGGAUCUCCUGCUGCAUGGUGGGGUGUGGAAAGUUUCGGCGGUUGGGGAUGGACUCGCGGCUUAUCAGCUUGUUGGUGGGGUAGUGGCUUACCAAGGCUUUGACGGGUAGCCGGCCUGAGAGGGUGACCGGCCACAUUGGGACUGGGAUACGGCCCAGACUCCUACGGGAGGCAGCAGUGGGGAAUAUUGCACAAUGGGCGGAAGCCUGAUGCAGCAACGCCGCGUGCGGGAUGACGGCCUUCGGGUUGUAAACCGCUUUCGCCUGUGACGAAGCGUGAGUGACGGUAAUGGGUAAAGAAGCACCGGCUAACUACGUG